CGUUGUGAGGACUAGCUCUGG
rnacentral:misc_RNA from 1 species